rnacentral:rRNA from 1 species
UGGUGUCUAUGGCGUAGAGGUCACACCUGUUCCCAUACCGAACACAGAAGUUAAGCUCUACUGCGGCGAUGAUAUUGCAUUGCGAGAAAGUAGCACGAUGCCAGUUC